AAUAACACGUGAGCAACCUGCCCCCUGCUUUGGGAUAACCCCGGGAAACCGGGGCUAAUACCGGAUAUGACCUUGCACCGCAUGGUGUUUGGUGGAAAGUUUUUCGGCUUGGGAUGGGCUCGCGGCCUAUCAGCUUGUUGGUGGGGUGAUGGCCUACCAAGGCGACGACGGGUAGCCGGCCUGAGAGGGCGACCGGCCACACUGGGACUGAAACACGGCCCAGACUCCUACGGGAGGCAGCAGUGGGGAAUAUUGCACAAUGGGCGGAAGCCUGAUGCAGCGACGCCGCGUGAGGGAUGACGGCCUUCGGGUUGUAAACCUCUUUCACCAGGGACGAAGCGUAAGUGACGGUACCUGCAAAACAAGCGCCGGCCAACUACGUGCCAACAGCCGCGGUAAGACGUAGGGCGCGAGCGUUGUCCGGAUUUAUU
rnacentral:rRNA from 1 species